rnacentral:misc_RNA from 1 species
GAAGGAAAUAUGCAUCACAUGGUGAACAUGAUAAGCUCAAAUCUUCUUUAAAAUCUUCAAAUUCCAAAAAAAUGUCUCGGUCAGUCACUUGGGCUGAUGAAAGUAUCGAUGGUGGCAUUGGCAAGAAAACAGAGAGCUCAUCCAAAAUAUCAGAAUAUGAGAGUCAAGCUUAUGGGGGAUCAGCCUCUACUGAUAUGGAAGAGAAUGAUGAUUCAUAUCGGUUUGAAUCUGCAGAAGCCUGUGCAGCAGCACUAAGCCAAGCAGCAGAGGCUGUUGCCUCAGGUUCUGAUGUUCCUGAUGCUGUGUCCAAAGCCGGGAUUGUAAUAUUGCCACCUUCACAAGAAGUGGAUGAAGCAAUACUUCAGGAGACUGAUGAGAUGCUUGAUUUAGAAACAGCUCCUUUAAAAUGGCCAAGAAAACCAGGGAUGCCAAAUUAUGAUGUCUUUGAAUCAGAGGACUCUUGGUAUGAUAGUCCACCUGAGGGGUUCAAUAUGACUCUGUCACCUUUCGGAACAAUGUUUAAUUCCCUCUUCACAUGGAUAUCAUCAUCGUCCUUGGCAUUUAUAUAUGGGCAUGAUGAAAGCAAUAACGAGGAGUAUUUGUCUAUCAAUGGAAGAGAAUAUCCUCGCAAAAUUGUGUUAUCUGAUGGCCGGUCAACUGAGAUUAAGCAGACUCUAGCUGGCUGUCUUGCUCGAGCAUUGCCGGGAUUGGUUGCUGACCUUAGGCUGCCUGUACCGAUAUCAACUUUAGAGCAAGGAAUGGUUCUCCUCUUAAAUACAAUGUCUUUUGUGGAUCCACUCCCUGCAUUCCGAAUGAAGCAAUGGCAACUUAUUGUACUUCUGUUUCUUGAUGCUCUUUCUGUAUGUAGGAUACCCACACUGACUCCAUAUAUGACGGGGCGAAGGACUUCGUUUCCAAAGGUGCUUGAUGGUGCUCAGAUAAGCGCAGCGGAAUAUGAGAUCAUGAAAGAUCUGAUCAUUCCACUAGGUCGAGUGCCUCAGUUCUCAAUGCAAAGUGGAGGCUAGUUUGACAUGAAAUAGCUGUUGUGGACCCUCUCCUAUAAACCUUCAUGGUAGAAAGAGGUUGUGAAAGUAGACUUGAAAGUGUGCACAUACCGCAAAAUUAUAUAUGUUUGUUGCAACUUCUCUUCAUAUCUGCUUAUGUUAUAGAAUUUGCUAUGUUGUCA